rnacentral:lncRNA from 1 species
CGCUAUCACUUUCUUGGGGGUGUCACUGAUCACUGGCUAUUGCGACUACCAGACGCUCUGGACACUUGGAACGCUCCUGAGUUUGCGGCUGGGUCCACUUCCUGAAUGAUACUAGGAUCCCCGCCUCUGGUUUCUUUUGGCUGCCCCCGAGCUACCUCAGUCUUUUUCAAUGUCAGGCGGUCCAAGUUCCCUGUGGUGAAAAUGGAGCCCAGUGAGUCGUGCCCAUGGCAGCGCACCUGGUUUUGCAGCCUGGGCAGGUCACAGGUGCAUCUUCCACGGGGAUUUGAGCCAGCGUGCACCCCCAUAGCGCGACUGAGAUUCCAAGUCACACCCAGGUUUUGGCCUCGCAAAUCCGCCUCUGCUCCCAGCUGGCACCUGAGUAUGCAGGUCGCAGCCCGCGAUUUAGAAACACCGGCACCCGGGUGAACGCCCACGGCUCCUCAGCUUUCGCUGCACCGACGUCUGCACCACGCCCGUCAAGCUCAGCUGCAUCCUGACUCUGGGUUGGAAACUUCGUGGUGGAUGAUGCCUGUAACUACCCAGAUGAAAUCAAGACGCAACAGCCCUCAUCGAGGGAUGCUCAGGUGGAGUCUCGUUCUGUCACCCAGGCUGGAGUACAGUGGUGCUAUCUUGGCUCACUGCAACUUCCGCCUCCCGGGUUCAAGCGAUUCUCCUGUCUCAGCCUCCCAAGUAGCUGGGAUUACAGGCACGUGCCACUAUGCCUGCCUACAGACUUUGAUUUUGAUUGCACCAAAUCUAUACCUCAUUUAAGGAGAAUCACUUAUUAAAGAUAUUAAGAAAUCCAAUCCAUGAGCAUGGAAUAGCUCUGUUUAUUUCAAAAUUCUUGAAUUUAUUGCAGCAAUGUUUUGUAACUGUCAGUGUUAAGAUCUUGUACACUUUUAUUAGAUUUAUUCCCAAGUAUGGGUCUUUCCUGACCCAUCUUAUUUAAUUGAAUUUGGUUUACUUCCACUCAGUGCCUCAAUUUGGCUAUUGAUGUUGAAGUCAAUAAAUAUGGAGCAUCUCCUCUGCGCAGGGCUCUGUGCUAGAUGCAGAGUGUAUGGCAAGACAUUUCUAUUGUAGUGCAGGACAUGAAAUGGACAUUGAAAGGAUAAUUAUUGAAAUACCAUCUCUUUUAAAGUGCAUGUAGGGAAAGUAAAGAUUUCAAAUGGGAGUUGAUAAAAGGGAACCUUGACAAAAUCUGGGGAGUGAGUGAGUGAAUGCUUCUGAGGAAGUGCUCUUUGAACUGAGUUAGUGAUGACAUAAAAGAGGACAGAGGGAUCGUGUAUGUGUGUGUGUGUGUGUGUGUGUGUGUGUGUGCAUGCGUGUGUGUUCUAAAUGUUCUUUUGAAUAGAGAAAAGGGAGGCUUUGGUGAUAGCUCUGGAGGGCAUCUGUAAUGAUUGCAAUGAAUUUAAAUAAUAGAGUAAGUGCCCCAUCACUCCGUGCCAAUUCAGGGUUUAUAUUCACUUUGCUGAACUACUAGCUCCAAGCUCUUUCUACCACAAUAAAAAUAAUCAUACAUGAGUAAAGGUCGUUCUUAAUUAAAGGCAAGGACGCUUGACCGAACUUGGGUUCAAGGCCCAUCUUAGGCAGAUUAGAAUCCUUCCUAAGACUUAAGAGGAUGGAGGCCCCUCUCAGUAAAGUCCCUCUCUAUGUGCUAAGAACAGGUUUGGCACUACAGGAUGUUAAGUGCUAUUCUCUUUGGAUUAAUCUGCCUUGCACUCUUUGCUGAUGGCUGUGGGUGACAGGAUUAGGCAUGUACAGGAUCAUGGGACAAUAGGACAUGGGGAACUUUUCUUCUCCCCAAAGGGGGAAACUUGAGAGCUGAUGGGACUGCUGGAAAAGAUUCCUUCGCAACCAAGAAGGGGCGGCCUAAACUUUUGAUUCAGUGUGGCUGCAAUGGGUGAGUCUUUCUCUGGCCUCCCUGAGUUCUUUGCCUUCCCUACCCUGCCACAGGCAAUGCUUUUCUCCCUUUCUCUCCUUUCUCUUUUCUCUCUUUUCUGUUACUCAGGACAACUGUCUGCUCCUUCAUCUUGCCCAGAGACCACAUGUUGAAAGAUGUCCUUGGGAGCUUAACCUUGUAACGAUGUGGCAGUACUUUCUCCUGGCUCUACCUUCCAGGGAACAUGAAUUUAGGGGUUCAUAUCACAGUUAACUCUAAAAACUAUCUUGAGCACUUAAAAGCCUGUGCAAGCUCAAAAUUGGCUGCUCUAGGCUCCUUCUGGGAAAAGCAGCAGAAACUGCUCAGUGCUGUAGCUCAGUAGGUAAGGCUGUGCCAUUCUCCAAUGGUGUCCUGGGUUCAAUCCUGGCUUAGGGAAUCAGUGCUUUCUGGUUUAUAUCUGUGUGACCUUCAUCAUUUGUUGAUUCUUUUCCCCUCCACCAACCAUCUUGAAUUUUCCUUUCUCGGAGCAUUUGGAAGGUUUUCCUUUGGUAAAGUUCAAAAGCCAGAAAUAUUGGCAGUUUGGCCUGGCUAAAGUUGGGUAAUAAGAAAUUUUAAAGGAUUUUUUAAGAGCACUAUGGUUAAAAGUCAGCUUUUUCAAGCUCUAGCAUCAUGGAACUCCUUGGGAAAAACAGGAAGUGCUACAGACCACGUUUUGGGAAAAACCUGUUUUCCUCAUGAAACCCUAGGAAUUAAAAGUGGAUAGAUUCCUCUCAAAAUCGAAGACUCUGUUCUGUUUCGCAUUGUGUUAUGUGAUGGUUUUGAUUUGGGGGAAUAUCAGAAAUUACUUUGCAUUAUGAGAGAACUCUGGUGUGUAAUAACUAGAUAGGAAAUAUACUUUGGUAAAUAACUAAUGGCAGUGGUUUGGGAAUAUAUGGCGCUUUGCUUUUUCUUGGAACAGAAAAGCAUGCUCUUGACCACCUAAAAAGUAUGGAAAUGCCCUUUCCCCCCACCCAGACAUAAGACUCCUAUGGGGGAUGGGUUAAUCACAGAAUGGGCUGAUUGACUUUGGGUUGCCUAGCAAUUAAAUGCAUGGUAAAAUUAUUGUACUGUCUUGUUCUAUAGCAUUUCUUUUGGGGAUCCAGGACCUGGUGUAAAAAUGAGGCCCUUAAUUUUUGGGGAUCUGUUUUUGCCUUCCAGCUGUGCCUGCUUGUUAGGCUGUAGAAACUGCAUGCUUUCCUGGCCCUGUUCCUCCAAAGGCUCCACCCUGCCAGUAAUCCAAUUAACAAACUGGCAAAUGAACAAUCUUACAACUACUGGAUCUUCUUCUGUCUGUCUGUGUAUUUACAUGUGUUGUGUGUAAUGUUUAUAUAAAAGAGCUUUAAUUAAUUGGUUUAAAAAUAAUAAGAGCUUAUAUCAAAUAUUUUCUCAGAAAAACAAAAACUAUAAUGCCUUUUAGUUCAUGUGACUUAUGUAAUCUUCAGGAAAAAAAGUUUUACAUGCAAGGUGUGUAAAAAAGUGAAAUGUGUUUUUGGUAAAAGAUUAUAAGAAGGCAUGGGAAUGUGGAUUGUUUUUGCCUAGAUUAAAGGGUUGAAGGAUUGUUUUAAGUUUUAAGAUAGAAUAAAGCUGAAGGUUUAAGCAAGUUAUGAAAGGUUUGUGAAAAAUUGAUCUUGUGAAAGAAAUUCUGUGUAUGAACAUGUUGGCUAAAGUUAAAGGGGUAUUACUCAGUUUUUUCCAUGAAUUGAACAUUGGAAUAAAAGUACAAAAGGUUUAUCUUAGAGCACUGAUCUGCUUUUUAAAGAAAAUCUGUUAAGGGUUAAUAAAAAGUUUACGAGAAUCUUACCUUAUGGUCAAACUGAUUAAGGUUAAAUAGAUUUGUCUAUAAAAUUUUAUUAAGAAUUAGGUUUAACAUUAAUAGUACACUAAUGCAAAGGUGGCAUUUGGCUUAUUUGAUACAAAAAUCAUACAAGAAACACUGUCAAAUAUGAAAUGAUGUUUGGCUUUCUUUGGGCUGUAUUUGUGUAAAUAUGUAUUGGUAUGUGUUCCCAAAUCAUGAGAAACUCUUAUUAUUCUAAUAUAACUUAGUGUACAUUAUCAGUAAUAAUUACAAUUGUUAUGUUAAAUUAUUGUGUGCCACAAGGUAACCAAAUAUCUUUGUCAAUCGUAUCUUUGACUAUGGCUGUCCUAAGACUUUAUGUCAUCCACAGAUCAUUGCUUUCUUGUUUUAAUCCUCUUCAAAAGGUGGUUUGUAAUCAGCUAUAGGACUCUAGCAGAUAUUCUUAAAUGCAGGUUUUCUGAUAACUUUGGAGAUUGUGACAUUAGAAUACAGGAAAAAACUUUCAGGACUCUCAUGGAGAGCUGAAAUGUUCAUGAAUAUCAAACAGAACAGAAGUUAUCUGUAUGGACUGAACUAAUAGAGGACUGAGGUGAUCUUUUUCGGCUUUUUGCUUAAAAUGUUGCGGAUCCUUUGUUUUGUUUUUCAGAGUCAAGGAAACUUUUCUUUUGAGCUACUGACAGCUUAACUCCUGUGAACAAAAUUUGGAGCAUAUUUGUUUCUCUCUGCCUGAUUUCUCCAAAAUUUGGAAACUAUUUGUGAGUAUUCUUAACUUAUAGCAAUAUAGUUAUUUGCAUAAGUACAAUAAGGAUCUGUUUUCUUUUGCAAACAGACACAAUUGGAGAAACUGGUGAUUUUACCAAAGCUUUGAUUGGAAUGGUAUGUUUUCCUUUAAGGAAUCAAACUUGACUUAUAAAGCCAAUAAAAGCCCCUUGGGAAACCUGGCCUCAUGCCUUGUCUACACAGUCCCUGUACAGGGUUCCCGACCUGUGGUAAGUAAAGAAUGUCACUUUCUGAUUGGCCCAGGAGCCCCAGGUUAUCUUGGGACCUCAAGAGGAGAGGAAUUUACCCAACUCAGGUAUUUGAGGGUGCAAACUCACGGCUGGGCUCAGCUUUUAAAAAGUCUUAUCUGAGAUUCAUUUUAUGAAACACAGUUCCAUCAAAGUCAAUUUUAAAAGCCUCUGUGAAAAAUAAUUAUUAUUGCUGCACUUUAUACAAAUAAUUAGGCCAAGUAUAAUAAAGCAAAUUGGUUUUGCCAUGAUUUGUCUUUAGUAAAAAAUGGGAGACUGGAGAGAGAAAAAUUAUGUUUCAAGAACUAUGGUACACCUGUUAUUAGAUUCUAAUCUCAUCAGUUGUUUUUGAGGGUUUUCUUCUGCAAUUUAGACUGACUGCUUAUUCCUGUGAGCCAACCAGUGAUCUCUGGUUGCAGUUCAGAAUAAACAAGACAGAUACCACCUUUUGUCAGAACUCGGAGUUACAAGUGACCCUCACCAUAAUUAUGCUUUCUGAGCUCCUCUCUACCCUGAAUACAAGAGACCCUAACAGUUAGGCAGGAAAGCAUUGCCCCUAUUCAGCCUGAAGAAGUUACAGAAUAUGGAUCUUCAUCCUUCCACAACCCUUAGGAUUAAGAGUUGCCUUGUAAAAGGGAGGGGGGAAAUGUCAGAGACAUUUGAAUCAGAACAACUCCACCUUGAAUAGGGUCUGGGUAAAACAAGGCUGAGAACUGCUGGGUUGCAUUCCCAGAUGGUUAAGGCAUUCUAACUCACCGGAUGAGAUAGGAGGUCAGAACAAGAUACAGCUUAUAAAGACCUUGCCGAUAAAACAGGUUGUAGUAAGAAAAGCCGGCCAAAACCAAGAUAGCAACAAAAGUGACUUCUAAUUGUCCUCACUGCUCAUUAUAUGCUAAUUACAGUGCAUUAGCAUGCUAAAAGACACUCCUACCCACACCAAAACAGUUUACAAAUUCCAUAGCAACAUCAGAAAAUUACCCUAUAUAGUCUAAAAAGGGGAGGAACCCCCAGUUCUGGGAAUUGCCCACUCUUCCUGGAAAAUUCAUGAAUAAUCCACCCCUUGUGAUAUGAUUUGGCUGUGUGUAGCCUAGGGACUUGAUAUCCUGCAUCCCAGUUGCUCUAGCCAUGGAUAAAAGGGGCCAAGGUACAGCUGGGGCCAUGGCUUGAAAGGGUGCAAGCUCCAAGCCUAGGCAGCAUCCACAUGGUGUUGAGCCUGCGGGUGCACAGAGGUCAAGAAUUGAGGUUUGGGAACCUCCGCCUAGAUUUCAGAGGAUGUAGAGAAAUGCCUGGAUGUCCAGUCAGAAGUUUGCUUCAGGAACAGCGCCCUCAUGGAGAACCUUUGCUAGGGCAAUGAAGAAGGGAAAUGUGGGCUUGAAACCCCACACAGAGUCCCCACUGAGGCACCGCCUAGUGGGGCUGUGAGGAGAGGGCCAGCGUCCUCCAGACCCCAGAAUGGUAGAUCCACCAACAGCUUACACUGUGCACCUGGAAGAGCCAUAGACACUCAACACCAGGAGUGAAAGCAGCCACAAAGACACAGAGGCAGAGCUGCCCAAGACCAUGGGAACCCACCUCUUGCAGCAUAACUUGGAUGUGAGAAAUGGUGUCCAUGGAGAUAAUUUCAGAGCUUUAAGAUUUGGCUGCCCUGCUGGAUUUCUAACUUGCAUGGGGCCUGUAGCCCCUCCAUCUUGGCCAGUCUGUCACAUUUGGAAUGGGUGUAUUUACCCGAUACCUGUACCCCCAUUGUAUCUGGGAAGUAACUAAGUUGCUUUUGAUUUUACAGGCUCCUAGGUGGAAGGAACUCACCUUGUCUUAAAUGAGACUUUGGACUAUGGACUUUUAAGUUUAUGCUGAAAUGAGUUAAGAAUUUGGGGGACUGUGGGGAAGGUAUGAUUGGUUUUAAAAUGUGAGAACAUGAAAUUUGGGAGGGGUUGGGGGCAGAAUGAUAUGGUUUGGCUGUGUCCCUACCCAAAUCUCAUCUUGAAUUGUAGCUCCCAUAAUUCCCGCCUGUCAUGGGAGGGAUGCAGUGGGAGGUAAUUAAAUCAUGGGGACGGGUCUUUCCCAUGCUGUUCUCAUGGUAGUGAAUAAAUCUCAAGAGUUCUGAUGGUUUUAUAAAUGAGAGUUCCCUUGCACAAGCUCUCUCUUUGCCUGCCACUAUGUAAGAUGUGGCUUUGCUCCUCCUUGCCUUCCUCCAUGAUUGUGAGGCCUCCUCAACCAGGUGAAACUGUGAGUCAAUUAAACCUCUUUCCUCUAU